AUCGCUUCUUGGCCUUUUGGCUAAGAUCAAGGGUAGUAUCUGUUUUUAUGAGUUUAAUAUCCUAUAUGUUCUUUAUCCGAGGACAAUAUAUUACAUGGAUUUUUGGAGCAGGGAGAUGGAGUAGGAGCUCGCUCUGUCCACUCCAUGCAUCGACCCAGCAUUGCAGUACCUCCGGGAACAGUGCACAAAAA